rnacentral:rRNA from 1 species
UACGAAGGGGGCUAGCGUUGUUCGGAAUCACUGGGCGUAAAGCGCACGUAGGCGGAUGUGCCAGUCAGGGGUGAAAUCCCGGAGCUCAACUUCGGAACUGCCUCUGAUACAGCACGUCUUGAGUCCGGAAGAGGUGGGUGGAAUUCCUAGUGUAGAGGUGAAAUUCGUAGAUAUUAGGAAGAACACCGGUGGCGAAGGCGGCCCACUGGUCCGGUACUGACGCUGAGGUGCGAAAGCGUGGGGAGCGAACAGG